rnacentral:rRNA from 1 species
AUUGAACGCUGGCGGCAGGCCUAACACAUGCAAGUCGAGCGGCAGCGGGACCUUCGGGUUGCCGGCGAGCGGCGGACGGGUGAGUAAUGCCUAGGAAUCUGCCUGUUAGUGGGGGAUAACGCGGGGAAACUCGCGCUAAUACCGCAUACGUCCUACGGGAGAAAGCGGGGGCUCUUCGGACCUCGCGCUAACAGAUGAGCCUAGGUCGGAUUAGCUAGUAGGUGAGGUAAUGGCUCACCUAGGCUACGAUCCGUAACCGGUCUGAGAGGAUGAUCAGACACACGGGAACUGAGACACGGGCCAGAAUCCGACGGGAGGCAGCAGUGGGGAAUAUUGGACAAUGGGCGAAAGCCUGAUCCAGCCAUGCCGCGUGUGUGAAGAAGGUCUUCGGAUUGUAAAGCACUUUAAGUUGGGAGGAAGGGCUGUAAGCUAAUAUCUUGCAGUUUUGACGUUACCAACAGAAUAAGCACCGGCUAACUCUGUGCCAGCCGCCGCCGUAAAAC